UUGAAAUUCUCUGGCUCCAGCCCAGGCGGCUGACAAAAGGGCCUGGCGCUGCUGCCAGCAAUCAGGACGGUGGAGUAUGAGAUCCCACCCUGUUCCCAGGCGUGGGGGGGCGGAGGGCUAGGCUGCCCUCCCCCUCGACCCUGUCACUGUGCCGUCACCUUUCCCAAGGCAAAGCUCAGGCCUUGCCCUAAGGAAGGGUCUUGCUGGGAAAGCUGCCCCUCCACCCUCAACGGAAAAAACAGCUGGUUGAAGCCCAGAGGAAAUUCCAGAAUCUCCAAAGCUGUUGCAGGAGAGCCUUUAGGAUGGAGGGGUCUGUCACCCUCAGGUUAGAGCUUAAGCCUCACCAGGCAGCAGCAAGUCCAGGUGCCCGCACGAGCCUGGCCCCGUACCUGCCGCACAGCCUUGGGCCACGGAGCCAUCUCCUCGUCUGCAAGGACAACUGCAUGGUGGGAGUGCCUUGGAGGCUGGACGCCCGUCCACAUGUAGUUACUGGGGAGCAGGACACGUCCUCCCUGGAGGUGUGAGGAAGUUGGAAAUACGCACUUCUGUGGACUUGACUCUGUAACUGCCUGGCCUCAGGUCUCUGUAGCAGGGGCGGGGCUGCUGCUUGCUUGCCUCUGGAGAAAAUCCCUGGCCUAAAAGCUCCCCUCACCCUGAGACCACAGCACCUGAAUGCCCACCAGCCCAGACAUUCUCCGCUGACAUAAACCGUCGUGCUCACAAACCCCCACUCCCGCAAGCUGUCAUCCGAUGCAAAUACCUCAGUGGGAAGGAGUUGACUGCUUUGGUUUUCAACUAGACAUCUGGAUGAGAACAGACUUCUGAAGGAAUGGGGCAUUUGAUUUAAAAAGAAAAUGAAAGAAGAGAUAUGACAUAGCCCUAAUUUGGAAUAGGGAGAGUCUGAGACAGGUAAGACAGAAAGGCCUAGAAAUCACAAAGGAGGAGGCUAUGAAGAUUCUGGACAAAGGGGCCAGGAAAACAGGAAGAGCCCUUGGGGUGUACAGUCAAGUGUACAGGCAGGUGGAGGAGGAGGUGUCAGCAGCCAGUCCCCCUUGGUCAGCUGCUGUGUGUCCUGAGGCAGCCGACCAACCUCUCUGAGCCUCGCCCUGGACAGGAACGUAUGGCUGCAAACAGGUGAGGGGAUCGAGCGAAACGAGGCACUUAAAAAUUCAGUCUCAUUUCAGAAAGUAUUUACUGAGGACCUCCAGGCACUCAUUUGGUUUUAACUCCCUUUACAGGGACCUACUAAGUGCAGGGCCCAGUGCCAAGCCCUUUACGUGGAUCAUCUCUUUGAAUCGUCCCCAUGCACAUUUCAAAGGCAGGCAGGGAAGCUGGCAACAAAUAUCGGGUGAAGUAGAGGUGGAAGGGGCCGCUGGGCACACCUCCUCUCUCUGGGCCUCAGUUUCCAUGGCUGUAAAAUGGGACCCCCGUGCCCCACCUCCAUAUUUCCGAGGAGUCUGUGAUUACCGGCCCCAGAAGACAAUCUGCAAGAUGGGAAGUGGGACAGGCCAGAAGCGUAGCAGGGACUCAGCCAGUGGAAGCUACCUGUCCCCCGGGGACACAGAAAGCUCUUAGAAGGGGGAACUUUGGGUGAUGUUGGCAUCCCGGGAAACUCGAGAUGCCAGCGCUGGGAGAGGGCCGAGAAUGUGGAACUAACAGAAAAGGGGGGGCCGGGGCCAGCUGGGCUGGACAGGGGGGAGGCCCAGGCCCCAGCCGGCCGAGGGCCCCACCACCAGACCUGCCAGGAAUGGGUGAGCACAAGGUGAGAGCAUCGCCCAGCUAGGCUCCGGGAAGCCGCCCUGCCCUUCCCCAAGCCCUGUUUUGGAUUUCCUUCAUGGCUGAGGGUUUUCACAGGAGGGGAGGGAAAAACCAGACAAAGAAAGGCCCAUUGAGGCCAGAAAGGCCCAUUGAGGCCAGACAGGCCCUGCGCUCCCCAGGAGAGGAGAGGCUGGCGAUUCAAGGUCCCCACCCAGUCCUGUCUUUUCGGGCCAAGGGAGGAAAUGGAGGGUGGGCAUGCGGCGAAGCAUGACCUUGGCACGGUCCACACUUGGCAUUUCUCGGCCUCUCCUGGCUCAGGACUUCCGGGCCCGCCCCCUUUCUGUACUCUUGGAGCCAGGCGCCCUCACCAGAGGCCACAGCCAUUUUCAGCACACACACCCUCCCCCCCCCCCCGAGCCAUACAUGAUCUCAUGGAAGCUGCAUAAACCCCCAGCGGCCCCCAAUUUACAAUGGAGGAAACUGAGGCACAGAGCAAUUAAGUGAUCUUCCCUGGGUUUCACAGCCAGGCAGAAAAGGGUUUCAAAACAGGUCUGGAUGCUGGCAAAACUCCUGUUCUACCCACCAGGUGGCCGUCCCAUUCUUACUCCAGGGAUAACCUUUUUCUACAUGAGCCAAAUCCCUGACAGCUGCAGAGGACCCCUUUGCGUCAAGUCUGCCAUAAAAGAGACAGCAAAUUGCCCACAGUCCCCAAAGACUCUCUUUUGACGCCAGUCGGCUUGACCUCCCUGCCGCUGGGAGGCCAGUGGACCCUCCAGCGCCCAGCCUGGCUCAGUCUGGCUCCAACAGGACAGUGGCAAAGUGUCCCCGCAGUAAAUGAGUCACAGGCCGACCACGGGGGCCAGCCUAAGACAACUUCCUUUAGCCCUGGAGGAAACACCUCAUCUUCCCUAAGCUCCAGGUCUACAUCUGUCAGCAAGUCCUGGGUACAGGAGGAGAGGGGACCCAUCAUUCAGUCACGAAAGCCACCAAAGCAAAGAAAUAUUCUCUCCUCCAAGCUGGUUUCUGGACCAGACGACCUGGGACAUAGAGCCACAAACCCACAUGCCCUCUGCCAAGUUGGAAUUUCAAACUCAAUUAGCUUGGGGUUGUCUGGAAUCUUCAAUUGUUCAAGCGUUCAAGCUUGAGCAUGGAGUUUGGAGAGAGUAUGCCUCGAGGACAACAGGAUGCUGCUUUGGUGAAGUGGGGCAGCAUGGACCACCCAGAAAAUUGGGUGUGAUCUUCCAAGACCCUGCAGGGCAUCCAGACUCCCUCCAGCCACUCCCUGCUUCCACCCACCACACCAGAUACCCCUGGCUCAUCAAGCCUCCAAAUCUCUGUUCAUGCUGUCCUCUCUACCGUAAGUAUCUUUUAUUUCUGGCCAACUUCUGCUCCAGCCAACUUGAGGCCUCCUCAUCCAAAGCCAGCUCAUCCUUGGAGCCAGCUCAAAUCCACACCUCCUUCUCGAGGCGCUAUUUCCAGAUAUUGCCCGGCAAAGAAACUCCAGCAAAGCUCCCUGUCCUUGCAGCACUUUGCACACUGAGUGCAGCAGGCAGGCACUAAUGUGAGUGUAUUUAAUGUGAUCCGCUUCCUCAGGGCACCUGACUCUUGGUCAGAUUCUAGUGAGGGACCUCUUCUGGGCUGCAAAUGGCUGACGUCACGCUGUGUCUCCACACAGUAGAGGGAGGCAGGGGAGCUCCCUAGAGUUUCUUAUAAGAGCAUGACCUGAGCCUUGGUAUUGGCUCAGGUCAUGAUCUCAGGGUUGUGGGAUAGACCCCCAAGUCAGGCUAGGCUAGGUCUGCUUGUCCCUUUCCCUCUGCCCCCCCACUAGCUCUCUCUCACAAACAAACAAACAAACAAACAAACAAACAAACAAAUAAAAUCUGUUUAAAAAAAGAAGAAGAAGAAAGAAAGAAAGGAAAGAAAGCUCAACAAUAUGCUUUUAGUCAAAUGGCCAGGGUUCACCUACUGAUGGUGGGUGGAAAUGUAACCGGUGAUUGUGACCCAGGAGCAGUUGGCCCCUUGCACCUUCCCAUUAAAGCCAACCUUCUGGCUAGAAGGACUCCACUCUGUUUACAUACCUGUCUUCCCCCUUGACUGGGAGCCCCCUCCCCCAAGGCCUGUUUUGUCUCGUCCUGGAUCCCAUGCUCCUGGCACACAGUAGGUGCUCAGUCAAUACUGGUGGGAUGCAUGGAGGCUCUAUCCUGGCUCUCUCGCUACCUUCAUGGGCUCCUUUAGACAUGUCCCUCUCCCUUUCUCAAGCUUGUUCCUCCAUCUGAGAAGUGAAAGGGUAGAUUAACUCACUCCAGGCUGUGGUCUGAAUGUUUGGACCACCACCACCCCCAUCAACCCAAUUCAUAUGUUGAUGUGCUAACACCCAAUGGGAUAGCAUUGAGAUGUGGGGUCUUGGAGAGGUGAGGAGGUCAUGAGGGUAGAGCCCUCCUGAGUGGGAUUACUGCUCUUAUAAGAAACUCUAGGGAGCUGCCCUGCCUCCCUCUACGCCUCCCUCUACUAUGUGGAAACACAGCGUGAAGUCGGCCAUUUGCAGCCCAGAAGAGGUCCCUCACUAGAACCUGACCAUGCUGGCACCCUGAUCCUGAACUUCUAGCCUUCAGAACUAUAAACCAUGAGUUUCUGCUGCUUAGAGUCAGUCUUUGGCAUUUUGUGAGACUAAGACACCCAGAAAUGACACAUGGUUAUCUCAGAUGACCACUGUCAUCCAUUGAAUUUUAAGGUCAAAUUUGGUUGAUAGGUUGUCAUCACAGAUGAGCCCUAACAUCACCACCCUCCCCCCCCCAUACAUGCAUGUUACUCCCCCCCAUCAAGAGGCGGACUCUGUUCUGUUUCCCUUAGAGUCUGGGCUGGGUUGGUGACAUGCUGUGACCAAUGGAAAGUGGCAGAGGUGAUGCUGUGCCAACCCUCGGCCUAGAUCUCAAGAGGCCUGGCAGCUUUGCCUUUCACACUUCCAGAGCCCUGAGGCUCCAUAUAGAGAAGUCCAGGCAGUGCUGCCAUGUGGGAAGAGGCAGCCCAAGUCCCAGCAGGAUGUGAGGCCAUCUUAAGUGGCCCUGCCGCAGUCAAGCUCCCAGUUGAAUGCAGCUCAUGAGUGACCCAACUGAUACCACAUAGGACAAACAUGGGCCAUCCCUGCAGAACCCUGCGCAGCUACAGAACUGUGAACAAAUAAGUCCUUUCAAGCCACCAUAUUUUAGAGUGGUUUGAACCACAGAGAUAAAUAACUGAAACCUUUGGGUUCAAAUAGAGGGAGAGGCAUGACUGGAUUUCAUGUCUGCCAUGGCUUGUAAGUGAGGAUUAUGGAACUCCAUCCCUGGACUAGACAAUGUCAAUUCAAUUCAACGUCAGUUCAAGAAAUUUCUUGGGCCUACUGGAUAUGAAGGUUCCAAACCGAGAGGGGAUUAACCCAUCAGAGAGAAACCUGAACCCCACUAGGAUUAAAUGAAUCCGGUGGUCCCUCUUGGGAUGUUUAAACAGACAACUCAGAGAGGGUGGAGCAAUCAGUAGCAGAACUAGGAACAGAAAGAGAAACUCAGAGACAGAAUUGGCGGAAACUGAGCCAUAUGGGUAGAAGAGCAGAACAGGGAGCUGGAGGGACGAGAUAGCCCCUCCCUUGAGCCACUUCAGAACCUGAGAACCUUCUAGUUGAACACAAGCCUGGCUGGGUACCUGGUACUGCCCCCGCGUUGGCAUGCACAUUCCCAACAAUGAACCCCCUUUCCUCAAGAUACACACAACCCAUGACCCAGGCUAGCACUUUUCCCCAGCAUGGGGCAGAAACAGAAGGGUUCUCCUUUCUAGAAAUCACCAGUGCCUGACAUAGAAGCCCAGCCACCUUGAAGUUCAUGUUGAAUCCUUUACCAGGUUCUAGACACUAUGCUCCACACAUGGGCACCUUCAUUUCUUCCUAACCAUCACCCUUAUCAAGGGCACAUUGCCAUCCCAUUUUACAAAUGAGAAGACUCAUUUGCUCACAGCCACAGGGUUUGUAGAAAUUUGAAUCCAGCAUGAAUGAUGACAAAGCCUGGGACCUCAGGCAGGCUUGAUGAUCACCCAUACACCUUGGUACAGCCCCAUGGGCUACUCACACCCACAUCUGUUCUGACUGGUCAGUGCCCUGCUGAGCCAGCUGUAACUAAGACAGUGGCCAUCUGAACUCUCAAUUUCCAAAUUCAGGAAACAAAGAGAUGCGGAUCAGUGUUCCAGAUGUCCCUCACUGUGGUGAGCAGAAUAAUGCCUCCUCCCUCCAAAGAUGCCCAUGUCCUAACCCCCAGAACCUGAGAAUGAGUUACCUGACAAAAAGGACUUUGCAGAUGGGAUUGAGUCAAGGGUCUUGAGAUGGGAGAGAUUAUCCUAGAUUAUCCAGGUGGGCCCAGUGUCAUCACCCAGGUCUUUGUAAAUGAAAAAGGGAGCCAGGAAAGUCAGAGCAAUCCCAUGUGAGAAGGACUCAACCAUUGCUGCUGGCUUUGGAGAUAGAGAAAGGAACCACGGACCCAGGAGUGUGAACAGCCUCUCAAAGCUGGAAAAGGCAAGGCGGUAGAGUCUCCCCUGAAGCCUCUGAAAGGAACACAGUCCUGCCAACACCUUGUGUCGAGCCCAGUGCAACCUGUUUUGGGACUUCUGACCUCCAGAACUGUAAGAUAAGAUAUGUGUGUGGUUUUAAGCCACUGAGCAUGCGGCGAUUGUUACAGCAGCAACGGGAAACUCCUACACUGGCUGUCUGAGCUCUUCCUCUCAUCCUCAAGAAUUCAUAGAUUCUGACAACUGUUCAAACAAAUGCAGAUAACAAGGGAUGGGUGUAUUUCGAAUGUCCCCCUGCCCUUAAUUGCCACCCCUGACCAUUUCUUGAGUGCAGAUGUGCUUUCCACGACUCUGAGACAUGAAGAAACUGAGGCUCAAGAGGUAUGGGUUUACCUGAGCUCACCCAGGUGGCUGGCGCCAAACCCAAUUCUCUUGUCUUCCGGUCCCUGAGUCCCAGAAGGAAAACCUGAACAAACUAGCCAUUGUCUCUUACACCAAUUGCUUUACCCAACCAUCUCCUUGCAUAAGAGUUGUCCUCAGGGCUGGGAUUAGAGGACCCGAGUCAUGAACCUCAAGAAAGCAGAACCGAUUCUGACACGCUGUCUGCGUAGCAGCUGACCCCCUGCUGAGUCAGCUGCUGGCACUUCCAAGCUUGCAGAGCAGCCGGGGUGGAACAAGGCCUGAGCCACCCCACCACCCCAGCCCAGAACUUCUCCACGGGGUGAAGCAUAAAGCCAGGAGAUGUGGCAAAAUGACCUUUUCCAGCCUGGGGAUCCAAGAUCACAAGGUGCCAGACUUCCACAUCAACCCAGACGUGCGAAGGCAAAUUUCAAUGCCUGCUUU